CCGCCGCGCCGUGGGGGAGGGGCGGGGCGGGCCGCGAGAGACCCGGGAAACAUGGCUGCUCGUCCUAUUUCGGCGUCGCGGCGUGGCCACCAACCCCCGGAUCAGAGUUGGGAGAGGCUCCGAAGAGGCUCCCGCGCCGGCGGAAUUCAAUCAAUAAACCCCGAACCCACGGCCGCGCGUUUUAGGACUUUGAAGGCUCAACCAGCUCCGCUCGGUUCUCGAGCCCCCAGCACCCGCGGCGCACACUAACCUGAUCACCGUGGAGGCGGGAUCUACGGCCCGGCGGAUGAACGGCAGCAGCUUGAACCAAUCGUUGCCGAGGGCCUCCGGGCAACAGCCAAUGGUGGCAGCGGCGGGGGGGGCGAGGGACCAAUGGGAAGGCUGCGCAGCCGGCCAGGGAGGCUCAGCCAUUUGGUUGUGGUGCCUGAGACGGACCCCUUUAGAUUUCGGGGCGGCAGAGGAGCGCGGCGGCUGCUCGGUGGCUGAGCGAGGGGGGUGGGCAGAAUGGCGGGGGAAGGGAAGGUGACUGUGCCUCGAGGGCCGAGCCACCCGGCCUCGCCAGCCCGCCGCUGCCUCAGCGUUUGUCCGGGGGCGGGGCUGCAGGUGCGUUUUACCAGGGGGAGGGGCGCAGCGGGAGGGGUCGGGGUCCGGUCCUCGCCGGGCCGAGGGCUUCGCGGGGCCGCCCCGGGCCUCCCAGCGCCGUGCGGUGGGGUCAUAGGAAGAGGUGGGCGGUGCGCGGUUUGGUGUCCGCGGUGUGCUGGGUGAGCGGGCGGAUGAAAGGCUUGGAAAGGGGGAGGGUCAAGGGUGCAGUGGGGGGGAGGAGAGGGUCAUUUUCUGGGUCGGGGGCAGAGUUGGUAGAGCGUGUUUGCUACCCCCCCACCUCCUCCGCGGCCCCCCCCUCUCCCCCACCGGGGCUGCGGCUCACAACCCGCGCGCCCUUUUGCCUCAAGCCUUGUUCUAGUACUGCCGCGGCCAUCGCCGCCGCUCCAAUAAAUAAGUACAUGAAAGCAAGAUGCGCCCACCUUUGGGAUGACUUACCUCGUGGUCUUGACCCUCUUCACGGAGGUACAUUUCAGUUUGCUGUCAUAUGAGAUCUGCUCAGCAGGAGCGAUCACCAAGAGCCACCCACGAUCUUGUUUACUCAAUAAAUGAAGAUUAUGGAUUAAGAAUUAUUGUUGAUACAUUGAAUGUUUAACAGUGAAAAAGGAAAGUUUUAGUAACUCCUGGUUUUCUGGACCAAACGAUUUAUGGACUUUAUAAAUCUAGUGAAAGAAAACGGCGCACAGUUUAUUUUAAUCGUCCAUCUGAGUCAUUUGCUUCAAUCCGGGUUGCCAAAGAGGCUCUAUUUGGAGCACUUUCUCCAGGUUUUACGGUUUGCUGCCUUUGGGACUUUUUUUCAAAUCACAUUAGUUGUAAGAGACUUUAACGCCUUCAUCCCCACUGGGUUACCACCUUAUUGUGGCCAGGCCUAGGACCUCUUCGUGUACUAAACGGUUGCUUAUGACUGUUAAUAAAUCAUGGGGAUUGUUGUCAACAAGACAAAUAUAUCUUUACCCUUCCACAUAACUAUAUUUCACUGCUUUUGUUUCUACACGUCUGUACUCUUGCCCAUACACUCCAAGGUAAUUUUUUCUUUUUGGGUACAUUGUGUUUAUUUUUCAUGGACAUAGGUUCAAGGGAGAGAUAAAACAGUAUAUGUACUGCAAAUUUGAAAUACUGUUAUAUAACACCAAUACAGUUUCAUUCUUGAGCAUAUAAAGUUUAGGAGGAAAUAUAGAGUGACAGUGUAAAUAAAAGGCACAUACAGAAACUAUAUACUGGGGAAGAAAAUGUAGUAACUUUAAUAUUGUAACCAGAUAGAUUGCAAAUGUAAAAUCCUGCAGCUAAGCAUUUUACUCAGUGAAUUCUUUCAGAUAAAAUAGUAAGUGGAAUUUGAAAAGUGAUAAUGCUUACUCCGAGUAGCUGGGAAAUGCAAAUGGAAGUGGUAAGUCAUUGUUUUAUUUCAUCUAGGUAUAAACAGUAUAGAAUAUUGUAUUUGCUUGUUGACUUAGUUGACACAUUUGUCUUCCUCAGUUUUGUUAAUCUUACGGAAGUCUUUAUAGUUGGAAUUUAUUCUUUUUAAAAGUGUACCGGUUGCAUUUAUAAAACAUACAGGGACCUCAAGUUACUUCUCUUUGGCAGUCAGUUCUUAUUUCUGGUUAGAGGGUUUAAGGUUGUUUCAAAACAGAGCUGUUCAUCACAGUCAUAUGAUGUGUAGAAUCUAUGUAACAUAGGAGUCCUGAAGUUCUGUCCUCUUUUGAUGGUAAAUGUUCAUCGUCAGUUUAAAUUUUACACCAGUUAAGUCCACACUGCUAGCAAUGUGAUUUGGGACAGUGCGUUUCCAGAGGAGUAAUCCUUUAAAAGCCAGCCAAUGAAAUGCAGAGAUGUUCCCCAUCCAGCUCUGCUAAACAGAAGCAAAUAACCUAACUCACUUUAUCUUACAAAGACUGAAAAGGAUGACUUGGAAGCCCAAACACCCCUUAAGUAGAGUACAGGAACAAAUUAAAAUUAGAAUUGAAAAAAAUUAUGGCUUGAUCACUAAGUCAAAAUACUAAAUUUAACAGUUAUUUAUAAAAGCAUUUACCUCUACAUAUUUUGAUAACAGCUUUUAUAUUGUUGUUAGAAAAUUGAAAUAAGGCUUCACUGGAUGUCGACAUUUACAGAAGUGGAAAUAUCCAGAAAGUGUAUAUAACCAAUUGAAUUAAUUUCCCAUCUUUACAACAUACUUUGAGAGAAGAGAUUUCCCCUUUUACAAAUAGAUUUGUUUAUAGUUUACUUCUCAGAAAAUUUUAAUGAUUUUCAUUAUCAAAAGGAAUUAGGAAUAUAACUCAGCUAAACUGAGCCAUUUGCUCCAUGCUACUUGACCAAACAUUAAAAAAUGAAAAAGCUUCAUAUUACUUUACAGAGUGGCUUUUUAAAUUACAUUUCAUUGCAUAUUAUAGUAGUAAAUAAAUGCUCUGAAUGGCUCUGAAUAGCAGAGGAUAUACAGUAAGAAAAGCCCUAUACCAAAGAAUCUUGGCUAAAUUUUUAUAAGGAUUGAGAACAGGGUGAGUUCCUAAUUGCAGAGUGAUUCUACAAUGGAAGUUAGGUUAUGAAAGACCGAGAGUCUGUAACCUCUGGAAAUGGAUUUGAUUCACACUGAGAAGAAUAAAUGAGAUACGUUGAAAGCUUUGAGCCCCUACGGAGAAAGAUGGUCUUCAGGUAAGGAAAGACCUUUCUGCCUUCUAGAAUAUUUUUCUUCAGGAACUAUUCCAAGCAAAUGAGCAGCCUAUCUUGUUCUCUAAAACGUAUGAGCAAUGGGUAUCUUAGCCUCUUGAUACAUGCUGGAAAGUACUGUUAUAUAAAUAACCCACAUUGAUUCUGCUGCCAUUUUAGUUCCUUUGAUCUUGUUUGGUCUCAAAGAUGGAGACUCUUUGGUUAGCAUCCUUUUUAUGAGUUGAACUAAAGUAUUCACAGUUCAACAUUUUGUUCCUCAGCUUAAAUCAUAUACUCUGUAUAAACAGCUUUAGAAAUGUAGAAUCUUCUUUUGAAAUCCAUGGUCACAAAUAGGAAGACUGCUUCAUUUUAAUUUGAAUAAGCAAAGGAAUGUUAAGGCCCAGGUUCUAAAAUGUUAACUCUUCUUAAUUCUUUGGCUUAAUAAAGCAUUGGCUAGUUUUAUUUUUUUAAUUAUUGAAUAGUUAUCAAUGGGUUGGUCGUGGAGAAAAAGCACUGUUACAUAAAAAGUCAUGUGAUUAUAAAAACUAAUAAAAACUCUUAAAAGCAGUUUAAAGAUGGUUUAUUUUGAAAGGAAAAGAAAUUACAAAGUUGUUUGGAAAUCACUAGAAGUUUCAUGAAUCAGUUUCUGAAAUAUAUUUAUUAAAGAUUAUUUGGAGAUAGCAAGAAGAGAGCUUUUUUAACAUUCACCGGAAAGAAAACCAGAGCUCUUAAGCUCUUACUUUCAGUAUUAAAAUAUGGCUAUAAAGGAAAAAAAAAUAGUUGCCAUAAAGGCAGAUAACAGGAUAAAGAGUCAUAGAACAGAAAUGUGACUAAAGGAAAUUAGGUUGAAAAAACAAAUGCAAUUUAUUUAGAAUCUACUAAUUUGUUUUCAUCUAUAUGGGGUAGAAGUUACCUCUGAACAAAAGAGGACUAACAUCUAUUAAGACACAAGAGGUAGAAAAGACUUUCUAAAGAUGUUUAAUAUAUUUGCACCUAUUUAUAAUUUUAAGCAUAUACAGUAAAAUUGUACUCAGAUUAUCUAAUGGCAGUUUUUAUUUGUACCUAUAAGUAAUUACCUUUUAAAAUACAUAUACAACUCUCUUUUUAAUUAGAGGUCAAUUGAAUGCAUUCUGAGAAGUCAGUCAUUUUUAAAUGUAUUUCUACUUGAAAUACUAGGUUUCCAGGAGAGUAUACCUAUACUUAAAACUUUUUUUAAAAUUCUGAAUGCUAGCAACUUAAAUAUAAAAAGUAUGCCUUCAUUAUCACAUGACCAAGCAAGAUAGCCAAGUUUGGUGUUUAAAGACCUAACCAAGUAGAGGAACAUGUGCUUUACUAUGGAUUGUUUUUCUGUUCCAAGAAUUUACCUGAAAUCAUUUUAUAUGACUUCCUGUGUAUGAAAAUUAUACCACUUCUACAUAUAUUUACUCAAAGGCAAUUUGAUAAAGUGUGACAAAUAUUUUUUACCAAGCUGGCCCAACUCAUUAUGUCUGCAUUCACGUUCAUGUGGAGAAGCUCUGCUAUAUAAGAGGCAGAAUAACAAGCAAAUAAGCAAGCUGGUCAUAGUGUGAUAGCACUUUUUAUAAUACCUUAAUGAAAAGAAACAGAAUAUAUUCAUAUGCCCAGGAAAAAAGUCAGGGAGGGUAUGCAUCAGAAAAUGUUUAAAAUUUUUUACAAAGGUUCUCUAUGGGUGAUGGAGUUACAGUGUUUUUCGGUUUGUCUGCAUUUUCUAAGUUUUUCAGUUGAUAAAUGACUUUGCAAUAAGAAAAAAAUUACAUUUAAUGGAAAAAUACAGCAGAUUUGGGGAUGUUUGUGCCAGUUGGGAUUCUUGGUUGAAGACAAAAGAAACUCCCUGAUCGAUGCAGCAGAAAAUUUCUCAUCAGGCUACUACAGAACCAAAGAACAAAUCCCAGAAAAGAGCAGGGAACGGGAGGCUGCCCAAUCUAAAGUGGCCAAGAUGGUGCUGCAGGCACAGCCUGCGAGGACCCCACAACUCGAGGGCCAUGUCUAAGCUGUGGACUCUGCACCACCCCCUUGCCACAAAUGAUCUCAGGCACUUCCAUUUUCGCAUCACUCCCUCAAGGUUCAAAUGCUCUUGGCAGAAACAUUUGCAGAUGCCCCAGCUGUCAGGAAAAAAGAUUAUCUGCCCCCUUUAGCGGCUCCAGUGAGAUGUGUGACCCUGCCUCCUAUCUAUUUUAGGAUCUGCCCCCUAAAAGUAUUCUGAUGCUAGGUCACCAAAAGCAAAAUCCACUGAAGUGUUCUGAUUAAACAGUAAUGUGAAGGUUUCCUAAUCAUCCAAAUUAUCCGUCUUAGAUCCUCUCUGGCUCCCUACUACUUACCAGGAAGGGACUUGUGGUCUGAACGUUCGUGUUCCUACCCUCAAAAUUCACAUACUGAAAUCCUAAUCCCCAAGGUGAUGCUAUUAAGAGGUGACUAGGUCAUGAGGGUGGAGCUCUCAGGAUUGAGAUUAGUGCCCUUAUUAAGUGUUCCCAGCGCUUCCACCAUGUGAGGACAUAGCAAGAAGUCUGCAGCCAGAAAGGGGCCUUCACUGACCAUGCUGGCACCUGAUCUCAGACUUCCAGUCUCCAGAACUGAAAAAUGAAUAAUUUUUUAAAUUUGUAAACCAUCCAAUCUGGUAUUUUGUUAUAGUAGCCCAAAAAAACUGUUAAGGCUGCAUCACCUACUUUAGGAUCAACCUAAGAUAGAGCUAGUGUCUUCUUCCUUUUACAUGCUUCCUUUUCUAAGUUCUGGCCAAAAGAAAUAAUUUAUUUUUGUUGGUAUCAAUGAAUACUUAAAGCAGAGCAGUCAUAAGGGAUACACUAAAGAUAGGGAUAAUCUACAUGUUAUAUUUCAUGAAUAAAUGCACAUUUCUCUGAAUAUGAAGUAAUAGGAGAUCUUUAUAUAUUUAAGUAUUGUUGCUGAUGGGUUUCUGUCUGCUACUCUGAGCACAUGUUCAGACUCCAAGUGCAGAACUAAGCUGAAGGGUAUGAGAUUUUUUGUAAAAAUUUAUUGGGAGUAGGCAAUCGGUCAGAGGCUAAGUAAGGGUUCAUUAAAGGAUGCAGUCACUUUAAAGACAAGUUUGAAGAAAAAAUGCUGACAGCGAAAGAAAUGCAAAAACCACAGACACGGCAAAGAGGCCCAUGUUCCAGGGAACAAAGAAGGUCAUAAAGGACCUGCUUAUAGAGAACAUGUUAAUCCUGGGAUACUGUUCUCUUUCCUCUUGCUCCCCAUCAUUUCAGAUCACAGCUUAGACUGCUUUUCAGCUAGAAAAAGCAAAUGCUAUCCUUGCAAGGACUCUGAACAAUGUUACAGGAAUUCAACUGUUUUCUUGCUUAAAAACUAUUAAAAUAUGGUUUAACUGUUAACAUGAACAGAAGUUCCCAUAAUGGCAAUAACUUCUCUCCAGAGAUGCAGGGCUAAAUAUCUGUUCAUUGAUACACAAAAUGCAAUUCACGACCCAACUGAUUUAUUUAUUAAAUUUUAACUUUUACUCAUAAGAUUUAAUGCAAAUUGUGGCAGACUGCUAAUUGUUCAACAAAAAUUUAUGUCUUCUUCCGGGACGCAAAGCUUGCCUAUGCUUCCCCGUGGCCCUUCCUGGUUAUAUUGGGCCAUGUGACUGAACUCUAGUCAGUGGAGUGUGAGAAGUGAUGUUUACCACUUUGAGGCCUGAAAUCAUUGCAUGCUGAGAUGGAGUUGACAGAGUGACCUUCAAAGCCAUGUUUUGUCCAUGAGGGUGGAACCUCCCUCAGCCUGGGUCUCCGAGGGGGGCCAUUCUACCAAACCGAUUUACUUGCUCCUCGAGAUGACCUGUGACCAAGAUAGAAACUUUUUCUCUGCUGUACCAUUACAUGUUUGAGUCUGUUUAUACUGUGACCUAUGCUAACUAAUACACAUUAAGGGUUUUUUUUUUCAGUCUUAGUUUUCCAUUCCUUUAUGAUUUUGUAGAUGACUUGUAUAUUUUGAAUAUUUAUUAUUGUAUUUGCAAUAUAUGUUUGAAUUACAGGUUCUUAGGAAUACCGUAAAACAGAGAUAAAAGGAUUAUAUUAAGUAAGUACUUAAUGAAGAAGAUUAUUGUAAGAGAGUCUAUAUAACUGACACACAAAUAUAUCUUUCCCCCAGUUUAGUGCUUGGCUCAUAGUAAGUGUAAAAUAAAUAUCUGUUGUCUUGUUAAUAAAUGAGCCUCCCUCCUGAGCUUCAGACUGACAUUUCAGUCGCUCAUGGGACAUUUCCAAACAGCUCUCCUACAAGACUAUCCACAGAACAUUUCCCAAACUAAAAUCUCACUUCUUAGCCUUGAAUCAGCUCCAGUCUCCAUCAUGUCUAAAUUGACUCUGUGCCCGUUGUUCCCAGGCUUCUGGCUUUUUUUCACCAAUGUUUCCCAAAAGAGUGUUUUAAGGACCAACAUAGGAUUGCCAACUUUUAAUUUUGCCAGAUAAAAACUUUAUGGCUAAUACACACAUACGUGUUUGUGUGUGUGUGUAUCACAUUUUUCAUAUCCAUUCAUCUUUUCCAUGUUUUUGUUACUGUAAAUAAUGCUGCAAUGAACAAUGUAGAGAGUCUACAUAAAACUAAAUUUAUUUAAUGUAAAGGACUUUCCUAUAUCCUGAAGUUGAGUCUUCCCUACAUUAUUAAUUUUACAUUGUCCAAGAUUUCUACUCAAGGAAUUGGAAACCUCUAGACCAGCAGUGGCUCUGAGGUCCUGAUAUCAGAUGAAUGUGUCUGAGCUCUAGUCGUAGUGCUUCUCUUAUCAACAACAGCCUCUGGUUCCCAGUGGCCUACACUCCCAAUCUGGUACUUAAACUCCCAAAAAAGGUGACUCCCUACUACCUUCCCAUUGAUAUCUCUCAUUUCCAGACAAAUCAGACCUUCUGCUAUUCCCAUCAUUUCUAUCUUUGACUAUAUGAUUCUCUCAGCUUAUAUACCCUUUCCUUUUUUCCCCACCAGUCAAAAUCCUACGCAGAGUUUAACACCAACUUUGAUACCACUGCCUUCAUGAAACCUUUUAUGAUGCACCCAAACAAGUUUUGAAUUCAUCAAAAUGCAAGAAGGAAUGAGAUGAUAAAGUUCAAAGACCUAAAACCACAGAACUCCCAGAAGAAAAUGGUAAACUCAUUGACAUUGAUCUUGGCAAUGGUAUUUUGGAUUUCACACCAAAAGCAAAGGCAACAAAAGCAAAAAUAAACAGGUGGGACUACACAAAACUAGAAAGCUGCGUCUGCACAGCAAAGGAAACCAUCAACAAAAUGGAAAGGCAACCUACAGAACAGGAGAAAAUAUUUGACAAUCAUGUAUCUGGUAAGGGGAUAAUAUAAAAAAUAGAAAGA